CCUACGGGUGGCAGCAGUGGGGAAUAUUGCACAAUGGGGGAAACCCUGAUGCAGCGACGCCGCGUGAGUGAAGAAGUACUUCGUGAUGUAAAGCUCUAUCAGCAGGGAAGAAAAUGACGGUACCUGAGUAAGAAGCCCCGGCUAACUACGUGACAGCAGCCGCUGUAAUACGUCGGGGGCAAGCGUUAUCCGGAUUUACUGGGUGGAAAGGGAGCGUAGACGGCAGUGCAAGUCUGGAGUGAAAGGCGGGGGCUCAAACCCCGGACUGCUCUGGAAACUGGACGGCUGGAGUGCAGGAGAGGUAAGUGGAAUGCCUAGUGUAGCGGUGAAAUGCGUAGAUAUUAGGAGGAACACCAGUGGCGAAGGCGGCUUACUGGACUGUAACUGACGUUGAGGCGCGAAAGCGUGGGGAGCAAACAGGAUUAGAUACCCUUGUAGUC
rnacentral:rRNA from 1 species